rnacentral:rRNA from 1 species
UAUGAAGCUGGAAUCGCUAGUAAUCGCAGAUCAGAAUGCUGCGGUGAAUACGUUCCCGGGUCUUGUACACACCGCCCGUCACACCAUGGGAGCCAGGAAUGCCCGAAGCCAGUGGCCUAACCGCAAGGGAGGAGCUGUCGAAGGCAGGCCCGGUAACUGGGGUGAAGUCGUAACAAGGUACC